GAUGAACGCUGGCGGCGUGCUUAACACAUGCAAGUCGAACGAAGCACUUUAUUUGAUUUCCUUCGGGAUUGAUUAUUUUGUGACUGAGUGGCGGACGGGUGAGUAACGCGUGGGUAACCUGCCUUGUACAGGGGGAUAACAGUUGGAAACGGCUGCUAAUACCGCAUAAGCGCACAGCAUCGCAUGAUGCAGUGUGAAAAACUCCGGUGGUAUAAGAUGGACCCGCGUUGGAUUAGCUAGUUGGUGAGGUAACGGCCCACCAAGGCGACGAUCCAUAGCCGACCUGAGAGGGUGACCGGCCACAUUGGGACUGAGACACGGCCCAAACUCCUACGGGAGGCAGCAGUGGGGAAUAUUGCACAAUGGGCGAAAGCCUGAUGCAGCGACGCCGCGUGAGCGAAGAAGUAUUUCGGUAUGUAAAGCUCUAUCAGCAGGGAAGAUA
rnacentral:rRNA from 1 species